rnacentral:rRNA from 1 species
UACGGAGGGGGGCUAGCGUUGUUCGGAAUACUGGGCGUAAAGCGCACGUAGGCGGCUUUGCAAGUUAGAGGUGAAAGCCCGGGGCUCAACUCCGGAAUUGCCUUUAAAACUGCAUCGCUAGAGUUGUGGAGAGGUAAGUGGAAUUCCGAGUGUAGAGGUGAAAUUCGUAGAUAUUCGGAAGAACACCAGUGGCGAAGGCGACUUACUGGACACAUACUGACGCUGAGGUGCGAAAGCGUGGGGAGCAACAGG